rnacentral:rRNA from 1 species
GACGAACGCUGGCGGCGUGCUUAACACAUGCAAGUCGAGCGGUAAGGCCCUUUAGUGGGUACGCGAGUGGCGGACGGGUGCGUAAGACGAAAGUAAGCUGCCCACGCCUUUGGGCUAAGGCUAGGAAACUGGAACUAAUACUGGAAAUGUGCCCCUGCUGCAAGGAGGGGGUUGAAAAGCUCCGGAUGUUGUGGAUGGACUCGCGGCCGAUCCGGUGUUUGGUGGGUUAGUGGCCUACCAAGGGGGCGACGGGUGGCCGGCCUGAGAGGGUGACCGGCGACAUUGGGACUGAGAGACGGCCCAGACGCCUACGGUAGGCAGUAGUGGGGAAUAUUGCCGAAUGGGCGCAAGCCUGAUGAAGCAACGCCGCGUGCGGGAUGACCGCCUUCUGGUGGAAAACCGCGUUCAGCAGGGACGAAGCUUUUUGUGACGGUACCUGCAGAAGAAGCACCGGCUAACUACGUG